rnacentral:rRNA from 1 species
UACAGAGGUCCCAAGCGUUGUUCGGAUUCACUGGGCGUAAAGGGUGCGUAGGUGGCCAGGUAAGUUCGGUGUGAAAGCUCGGAGCUUAACUCCGAAAUGUCAUUGAAUACUAUCUGGCUGGAGGGUCGGAGGGGAGACUGGAAUUCUCGGUGUAGCAGUGAAAUGCGUAGAUAUCGAGAGGAACACCAGUGGCGAAGGCGAGUCCCUGGACAAGACCUGACGCUGAGGCACGAAAGCCAGGGGAGCAAACAGG